rnacentral:rRNA from 1 species
AUUGAACGCUGGCGGCAUGCUUUACACAUGCAAGUCGAACGGUAACAGGCCGCAAGGUGCUGACGAGUGGCGAACGGGUGAGUAAUGCAUCGGAACGUGCCCAGUCGUGGGGGAUAACGCAGCGAAAGCUGCGCUAAUACCGCAUACGAUCUAUGGAUGAAAGCGGGGGACCGUAAGGCCUCGCGCGAUUGGAGCGGCCGAUGUCAGAUUAGGUAGUUGGUGGGGUAAAGGCUCACCAAGCCGACGAUCUGUAGCUGGUCUGAGAGGACGACCAGCCACACUGGGACUGAGACACGGCCCAGACUCCUACGGGAGGCAGCAGUGGGGAAUUUUGGACAAUGGGCGCAAGCCUGAUCCAGCAAUGCCGCGUGCAGGGAGAAAGCCUUCGGGUUGUAAACUGCUUUUGUACGGAACGAAACGGUCCUGGUUAAUACCCGGGGCUAAUGACGGUACCGUAAGAAUAAGCACCGGCUAACUACGUGCCAGCAGCCGCAGUAAUAC